rnacentral:rRNA from 1 species
UAGGGAAUCUUCGGCAAUGGACGAAAGUCUGAUCGAGCAACGCCGCGUGAGUGAAGAAGGUUUUCGGAUCGUAAAACUCUGUUGUGAGAGAAGAACAAGGACGUUAGUAACUGAACGUCCCCUGACGGUAUCUAACCAGAAAGCCACGGCUAACUACGUGCCAGCAGCCGCGGUAAUACGUAGGUGGCAAGCGUUGUCCGGAUUUAUUGGGCGUAAAGCGAGCGCAGGCGGUUUCUUAAGUCUGAUGUGAAAGCCCCCGGCUCAACCGGGGAGGGUCAUUGGAAACUGGGAGCCUUGAGUGCAGAAGAGGAGAGUGGAAUUCCAUGUGUAGCGGUGAAAUGCGUAGAUAUAUGGAGGAACACCAGUGGCGAAGGCGGCUCUCUGGUCUGUAACUGACGCUGAGGCUCGAAAGCGUGGGGAGCAAACAGG